rnacentral:lncRNA from 1 species
CUUUGCCAUUUCUAGAGCCGCUCCCGCGGCAUAUGGAGGUUCCCAGGCUAGGGGUCGAAUCGGAGCUGUAGCCUCCGGCCUACGCCAGAGCCACAGUAACGAGGGAUCCGAGCCGCGUCUGCAACCUACACCACAGCUCACGGCAACGCCGGAUCGUUAACCCACUGAGCAAGGGCAGGGACCGAACCCGCAACCUCAUGGUUCCUAGUCGGAUUCGUUGACCACUGCGCCACGACGGGAACUCCUGAUCUUUACUUUCUAGUGUCAAGAACCAUAAGAAAUAAAUUUCUAUUGUUUAUGCCACCAGUCCACUUUUUUUUUUGCUUUUUAGGGCCACACCUGAGGUAUAUGUAAGUUCCCAGGCCAGGGGUUGAAUUGGAGCUACAGUUGCCAGCCUAUACCACAGCACAGCAACAUGGGAUCCAAGCUAUGUCUGCGACCUACACCACAGCUCACAGCAAUGCCAGAUGCUUAACCUCCUGAGAGAGGCCAGGGAUAGAAUUCAUAUCCUCAUGGAUACUAGUCAGGUCCGUAAACCACUGAGCCACAAUGGGAACGCCGGUCCAUGGUAUUUUGUUAUGGCAGCCUGAGAAGACAAAGGUAAGGCUCCAGGGAUUAGGACAUGGUCAUAGCUUUGGGGCCACUAUCAGGUCAUGACAUAUAGGAUGUGAUGGAAUACGGUAUAGAUAUCAAAAGCAACAAAGUUAUUUCAUUGUCCAGGUGACAGAUGAUGAUAGGGAGGAAAAGGGAAGAUGGAGCAAAGGGGAAAAAUUCUAGAUGUUUCUGACUGUAGAGUUUGUAAGACUUACUUUUAUUUUGAAUAUGGAGGAUGAAGGAAAGAAAAGAAUCCUCCUUCAAGUCACUGCAGCCAAAAACAAAAAAAGGACCUGGAAAAUCAUAGAGGAUGAUCUAAGGACUAAGCCUAGAUUCCAGGGACAUACCUACUUUUUAUUUAUUAUUGAAACAUAGCAUACAUACAGUAAAAUACACAAACCUUCAGUAUAGAGCUUAAUGAAUUCUUACAUUUAUAUUUGCCCAUAUAACCACACAGAGCACCUUAUACAACAUUUUCAGCAUCCCAGAAAUUUCCUUUGUAUACCUUCUAAGUCAAUGUCCACGCAAGGGUAACUAUUUUGGUUUAGAUGUUCUUUUAUUCUUAUAGAUGUUUUUAUAUUUUUAAUUCUGUAAGUUUUAGAUGUUCUUUAACUUCCUAUAGAUGGAACUCUUUUAUAUUUGGCUUCUUUCACUCAUCAUUAUUUAUCUGGGAUUUAUCCAUGUUGUUGCACGUAUCCACACCUUGUUUGUUUUUCAUUGCUAUGAAGUAUUCCAUUGCAGCUAGAUGGAACCUAUAAAAUUUGCUGAUGGGCUGUGAGAGAAGGAGGAGUCAGGGCUUCUGUUCUGAGCCACUGAAAGAUGGAGUUGCCAUUAGCUGAGAUGGAUUACAUUGUUUGAGAAGGAGCUUUGAGGUGGGUGGAGGAGCUCAGGGGCUCAGUUUUGGACAUGGCGAAUUGGAAUUGCUCAUUAAAUAUCCAAGUGUUGAUAGUGAGUAGCCAUUCAGUCAUUAAGCAAUGAAGGGGAGUGACAGGGGGCAGUGAUUACAAGCGGGGAUGGUGGGUGAUGGACAGAUGACAAGAGAUUCUGAGCUACAGAGGGAGAAGUAGGGCUGGGAAGUGGCAAGCAUAAGCAAAGAGGACACAUACCUCACCUCUAGGAGUAUUCCAAGGGUAGAAGACAUGUGCAAGAAAAAAAGCCACCACUUGGGAGGGCUCUGUCUACAAAAGAGGUGGUACUAUGCCAGGCUCACCAUUUUCCAGGAGCCCCUUACCCACUCACCAAGCAAACAGCCCAACACCCAUCUGCAAAGGCACAUUGGCAGCCCCAAUUCUUUUGUUUAAGGUUGCUGCCCAGCUUAGCCAUCCAAUCAGUUUUCAUUGCUAUUUAUCCUCCUAUAUUCUUAACAUCUAACAGGUAAUAAAUGGAAUUAUGACCGCGUGCACCAUGACCAUUCCCCAUGCUUGCCAAGCAAAUCAGCUCCUUGGACAACCAAGUCCCAGACCCACCUCUGCUGCUAAUGUGAUGUGUAACUUCUGAGAAGACCCUGCCCUUCUCCCACCUCAGCUCCUAUAUCUAAGAAAAGGAUAAGUAGAGUGAGUGUAGAUAAAGAAAGUAUAGACUCUGAGUCAAGCAGACCUCAUUAGGUAAAGGAGGUGUGGCCUCAUUUGUUGUUUGGCCUGUCCAGCAUCCACACCCUCUUCUUCUUCUUCUUCUUUUUUUUUUUUUUUUUGUCUUUUUAGGGCCGCACCCAUGGCAUAUGGAGAUUCCCAGGCUAGGGCAAGCAUCUCUUUGAUAAGUAGUCAAGCCUGUGACUUCAGUCUGGAAUGUUCAAGCCACCCCACUAACUCACUCAUACCACAAGGCUCUUUCACAUAUGAAGCUUUCCCAAGGACACCUGAGUCCCUGCUGCUCCCAUCAAGUUCCUAUUUCCCCAUGGGGCUGCAUGCUGCUGGGUGAUAGCUACCUCCCUGCUAAACUGCUUUGAUGAAGUUGAUUGUGAGCCUUAGAUUGCUGAGCUUUUCAGCAAGUUACGUGAAGGUUUUAACUGAAAUGUCUUAGCACUGACUUAACCCUCAGAAGGAUCAACUUCUGCUUCUUCAGGGUCACCCUAAAAUAUAUGGAAUUCUUAUUUUCUCGAGGUGUGAUUCAUAACUGUUUAAAAGGGAGGACUGUCAUAGACCCUUUUAAGAGCCUGAUGAAAGGUUGGACCCCUCUAUCCAGGAGAAAACACCUUUGCACAAAAUGAUAAACAUAGUGUUGGAGCAUGGUAAACACCCCCCCAAACUCCAUUCUGAGACUAAGUUAAAACUCAAGGAUGAGAACAUCACAACGAGAAGAAAUCUUAGAAAUUAUCUGGCUGAGUUGGUCCACUGAACAAUAAUGAUAACAACAGUAAUGAUCAUGAUUAUAAAAUCAAUCAUCUAUUAAGUACUUACUAUGAACAAGGCACUCCACUGAGACUUUACAUACAUCAUGUCUCUAAAUCCUUACAAUAAACCCGACUAGGUACUAUUUCAUCCCUCCUUCACAGAUGAGGCUCCAGAGGCUCCUAGAGUCUAAGCCACUUGCCUAUGGAUAGGGAACAACUGAGUGGCAGAAGCCCACUGACUCCGAGAUCCGUUCUCAUAACCACUGUGAACUAGCACCUGUUAUCCACAGUUCUCUUCUCACCCAUAGUGAUGAGUAAUAGGAACCCACUGAAGCUAGCUUAAGCACAAAAGGGAAUUGUUAUAAGGAAGGAAUCAAGGUGACUUACAUAAUCCGUAAGCAAGGAUUAGCUGGACGGGAGGAAUCACCUGGAACUAGACAUCAGUUUGCUACAAGAACCAAGAAAAGCAAUCCAUCUAUCAUAGACUCAAUGUCUGUGUUCCACCAAAAUUCAUAUGGGGCCUUUAAGAAGGUGAUAAAGGUUUCAUGAGGUCAUGAGGGUUGGAUCCACAUCCCUCAUUGGUGGGAUGACAUGAGGAAGAGGAAGAGACACAGUAAGAAGGCAGCUGUCUGCAAGCCAAGAAGAGGGCUCUCACCAGGAACCAAACCUUGCCUGAACCUUGAUCUUGGACUUUCCAGCCUCCAGAACUAUAAGAAAAUACAUUCCUGUUGUUUAAGCCACUCAAUCUAUGGUAUUUGAUUACGGCAGCCCUAACAGACACCUUUACCCUCUCCCUCCCCCACACAUCCCCUCCCAAUGAAGAAAGAAAAUUAGCAAAGGGAAAACUUAGAAUCUGGGUUUCUCUAGCCCAAAGGCUAUGUCACCAGCUGGAGAUGGCCUUACAGAAUGGCUCAUACCCAAAAUAAGGGAAACACUGAAAUCGCAAAGGUCUCAAAUGCAGAUGCACAGAGAAGCCAGGCAGGGACCAGAAGUGAAUGAGGUGCGCUGGAGGUGCAGAAAAGGGAGCGGCAGGAACCGAGAGCCCCACAGGAAAAAAAAACAGCCACUUCUAGGCAUUGGCCAACCUCACUGUAGAUGUACAUGUCAAGUGUUGACAGAUUGUGCCCCUUCAUUUAAAAAAAAAAACCCUCUUAAUCUGCAUUUGCAUAUGAAAUCUCCAUAUUUUUAAACAUUGCACACUUGUACAGUCCAAACUAAACUCAUAUAGGCUAUUCCUAGACUGAGGACAGUCAGUUUGUGUGUACAAAGCCUUAUAGACUCCAGCUGGGAGGGAGCAGAAGGAGAACAUGCUAUGGAGUUACGAACCCAAGUUCAAAUCCAGGGUCCAACACUCACCAUGCUAUUUAACAGGUUGCUUUACCUCUCUGAUCACUCUGAGCUAAUCUUUUAAUCCUGUUGUUUCCAACACUUUGCCAAUAUAAAUAACGCUGUUAUAAAAUCAUGCUGUAUACAUGUCAUUUUUAUACUGUGCAAGUCUAUCUGGAGGAUAAGUUUCUACAGGAGAGACUGCCAAAUGUCACAGGCUGGAUUCUCUGGAACAGACACUGAAAUGGAGUUUGGGUUGAAAAAUGUUUAUUAGGAACAUAUGUCCACACAAAAACAUGUACAUGAAUAUUCAUAACAGCAUUAUUCAUAACAGCAAAAAAAAAGGUGGAAACAAUGCCAAUGUCCAUCAACUAAUGAAUGGAUGGAUAAAAUGUGGCCUAUCCAUAGGAUAGCAUAGUAUUUGAUAAUAAAAAAGGAAUGAACUACUGAUGCAUGCUACAACGUGGAUGAACAAUGAAAACACGCUGAGUAAAAUAAGCCAAACACAAAAGACCACGUCUUAUAUGAUGCCAUUCAUCUGAAAUGCACUGAAAAGGCAAGGCUUUUUUUCUAAAUUUUACUGGAAUAUAGCUGACUUACAAUGUUGUAUUAGUUUCGGGUGUACAGCAAAGUGAAUCAGCUAUAUCCAUGUCUCCAUUCUUUUUUUCCUUAUAGGUUAUUAUGAAAUAUUGAGUCAAUUUCCCUAAGCUAUACAGUAGGUUCCCAUUAAUCACCUAUUCUAUACAGUAGUGUGUAUGUGUUAUUCUCAUCCUCCCAAUUCCUCCCUCCCUCCCCCACCAAUGAUUCCCAUAUGAGGACCAUAAGAUUGCUUUUGAAAUCUGUGAGUCUGUUGCCAGAAUAGGCAAGUCUUUAGAGAUGAAAAGUAGAUUACCACUUGCCUGAGGCUGGAAGUCUGGGGGGGUUAUGAGAAGUGGAUGCUACUGAGUAUAGGGUUUGGGGAUGAUGAAAAUGUUCUAGAGUUGAUUGUGAUUCAUACCUCUGUGAAUAUACUCGAAACUAACUGUACAAUUUAAAUGGGAAUUAUACUUCAAUAAAGUUAUCCCCAAAUGUUGACAGGAAAAGGAAGAAAACUGGACUGACAAAAAGUCUAAACUGCAAUUCAGGUUCCAUGAAGCCAGCCAAGCCAGCAGAGAAUGGCUGAGCCAAGCCAGCCAAGCCUUCCACCUUCCCACUGAGCCAGGAUGCUGACGGCUCCAGAAAUCAUGGCCUUGGCUGGGUGGGGGAACUCCCUGCAGCAGACGGCUGGAAGCCAUCUGCUGACCACACUUCCCACCGCAAAACAGCAAAUCCUCCCCUGAAAGGGGGGUCUGGGAGGUGCAUCUCCACAUCUACCUCACCAACUUGAAAGGCAAAUUUCAUUACUUUUGAUAGAAGUCUCACUAUGGGAUUGUCACUGUUAUCACUGUCAUUCUAGAAUUCCCCAACUACUGGCAAUAUUUUUAUAUCUGGCAAGUGGGAUCCUAUUGAACAACAGCAGGGGGUACCUUCUAGAAGACCACACUGAGGAAUACCUUUACUGCCAUAUGAAAGCCUUUUCACUUGAUCCUGUGAGAACUGGGAACCUGGCCAUGGUUCUGCUGUUUUCCAAAGAGAGCUGAUAUGACGUAAAGCUGUAUUUUAGAAUACUUAUUCUACUGACAGCAUGCAAGAUGUAUUGGAAGGGGGAGACCCAGAAGACAGGGAGACUAAUUGCUUGAUUAUUGAAACCAACCAGCCAUGGGGUUGGGGAGGGUGGAUGGUUGCCAUAAGAAAGGAAGGAAGAAACAGAAGGAAGAAGGAAGUUUUAGCACAUCUGGAGGCUAACUGGACCAGGUAUAAGGGAGAAGAUAACUCCUUUUAGCUCAAGUUCAGGGGCACUGGAUGCGUGCCCUGAUACUAUCUCACCAUGAUACAAACCUCCUAAAAAUCUUCCCCAUCCACCCACUUCCCUCCGACUCUAAUAUCACCACAACCAUCUUUUGCUUCAGCAACUCUAUAGCCUUCUAACUGAUCUAUUCUGGCUUGCUGAAAUCUACUCCCCCUACAGGAGCCAGAGGGGCCUUCUUAAAACUUAAAUCAGGUCCUGUCAUCCCCAGAUUCAAACUCCUCCAAUUGUACCUCAUUGUCCUUCGCAUAAAACACCAUGUCUACAAGGUCUUUCAUUAGCUGCCCUUGCCCACCUUCCUAGCCUCAUUCUUACCAGUCCCACU